AUACGGAGGAUCCGAGCGUUAUCCGGAUUUAUUGGGUUUAAAGGGUGCGCAGGCGGGAGAUUAAGUCGGCGGUGAAAUUUUGCAGCGCAACUGUAAAAGGGCCCUUGAAACUGGUUUUCUUGAGAUUGGGAUAAGUAGGCGGGAUUUUUGGUGUAGCGGUGAAAUGCAUAGAUAUCACGAGGAACUCCGAUUGCGCAGGCAGCUUACUAAACUACUACUGACGCUCAGGCACGAAGGCGUGGGGAUCAAACAGGAUUAGAUACCCUGGUAGUCCACGCAGUAAACGAUGAUUACUAGCUGUUUGCGAUACAAUGUAAGCGGCUGAGCGAAAGCGUUAAGUAAUCCACCUGGGAGUACGUUCGCAAGAAUGAAACUCAAAUGAAUUGACGGGG
rnacentral:rRNA from 1 species